GAUGAACGCUGGCGGCGUGCCUAAUACAUGCAAGUCGAGCGAACAGACGAGGAGCUUGCUCCUCUGACGUUAGCGGCGGACGGGUGAGUAACACGUGGAUAACCUACCUAUAAGACUGGGAUAACUUCGGGAAACCGGAGCUAAUACCGGAUAAUAUAUUGAACCGCAUGGUUCAAUAGUGAGAGACGGUUUUGCUGUCACUUAUAGAUGGAUCCGCGCCGCAUUAGCUAGUUGGUAAGGUAACGGCUUACCAAGGCGACGAUGCGUAGCCGACCUGAGAGGGUGAUCGGCCACACUGGAACUGAGACACGGUCCAGACUCCUACGGGAGGCAGCAGUAGGGAAUCUUCCGCAAUGGGCGAAAGCUUGACGGAGCAACGCCGCGUGAGUGAUGAAGGUCUUCGGAUCGUAAAACUCUGUUAUUAGGGAAGAACAAAUGUGUAAGUAACUAUGCACGUCUUGACGGUACCUAAUCAGAAAGCCACGGCUAACUACGUG
rnacentral:rRNA from 1 species